rnacentral:rRNA from 1 species
GGGGGGGGGGGGGGGGGGGGGGGGGGGGGGGGGGGGGGGGGGGGGGGGGGGGCGGUGGGGGGGUGCGCGGGGGGCGAGCGGGGGAGUGGCACGGGAGGGCCCUGCCCGUGGCUGGGGGAGAGCGUCCGGGAACGGGGGCUAAUACCGGAUAGGAGCUCCUGCUGCCUGGGGGGGGGUGGAACGGUUCGGCGGUGGGGGAUGGACUCGCGGCUUAUCAGCUUGUUGGUGGGGGAGUGGCUUACCAAGGCUUUGACGGGUAGCCGGCCUGAGAGGGUGACCGGCCACAUUGGGACUGAGAUACGGCCCAGACUCCUACGGGAGGCAGCAGUGGGGAAUAUUGCACAAUGGGCGGAAGCCUGAUGCAGCAACGCCGCGUGCGGGAUGACGGCCUUCGGGUUGUAAACCGCUUUCGCCUGUGACGAAGCGUGAGUGACGGUAAUGGGUAAAGAAGCACCGGCUAACUACGUG